rnacentral:lncRNA from 1 species
ACCUACGACACACACAGUGACACAGACAGUACCUACGACACACACAGUGACACAGACAGUACAUAAGACACACACAGUGACAGGACCUAUGACACAGACAGAGACACACUCAGUGACACAGACAGUACCUAAGACACACACAGUGACAGUACCUUUUACACAGACAGAGACACACACAGUGACAUAGACAGUAGCUAAGACAUACACAGAGACAUUACCUUUGACAAAGACACAGGCUGACUUAUACUCACAAACAAACCUAAAAAGAAAGAUUAACCAGCAGGCCAAGAAAACAAAAAGUAUAAAAAGGUACUGUAGCUGAACUUUAAUUUAAUUUAUGUGAACUUUAAACUACCGGUAGCAAGAAAUUAACUAAAAAUUAAUUCAAACUUAUGACCAUUAGAAUUAUUAGAAUGUAACCUCGUUUAUUAAUGGACUCGGGACAUUUUAGCUAAAAAAAAAAAAAAACUACAAAGGGACAUUUUAGCACCGACAUAGCCCAUUUUAGCGAAAACGUACAGGGUUGAAUAAUACACACCCUACUAGAACCAGUAAUUUAUACUGGUUUAAUCUUUAAGUUAUUUAUAUGUUCAUCAUGGAAAUACAAGUUCUUGAAACAAACAGAGGGGGGGGAGUGUAAUUUGUGACAGAUACCGAUAUAAGAUAGACAAAAUACAGUAUUGUACAGUGAUUAUAUUAAGAGCCCAUUAUGUGCCUUUUCUAGGAUAUAAAUUCAAGGGUAGAACGGACUUUUCUCAUUUGAUUUAACCUUUUAGACUUUUAGUCCUGUAUUUUAUCUAGGAUAGAAACAAUAACAGAUGUUUUACAUUUGAUUGAAUCUUUUAGACUUUUAAUACUGUAUUUUAAUGGAUAAUAUAUGCUUUAUAUUGUGCUGUCUUGAGUCUAUUAAAGUUUUUUUUUAUUUUAUAUUAUCCAUGAUAAUGGGUUAAAAAUAUUUUGCUGAAAUGGGCAUUAAUAGUUUGAAAUUUCGCUAAAAUGGGUUCUACUUUGACUUGGCUAAAACCACGAAAUUAAAUAUACACGGAUAUGUAAGUUUUCCUGAAACCAUGAAAAUUGGUACCCACGAAAAAAAAUUGAAUCCACAGUAUCUGUAUUUUACAUUAUAAGUAAUAGUUGAAUAAUAGAUUUGCUAUUAAAAUUUACUACAAAUAUUUUAUACUGUGAUCUUUGUUAAAGUUUUAUUUAAACAUAGGUUUUUCUUAUUUAUUAGAUUUAAUAUGUUGUAAACUAUAGUCUGUAUAUCAAAUAGGAGUUUUGAGCCUAAAUCAUGUUUGACUGUUUUUUUAAUAUAGUUGAAAUAUAAUUUCAUUUUUUUUUUUAAUUCUGCAGCAUAAAUGUAUAACUUGUAUUUUUGUAGAGUUUAAAGAAGAAGAAACAUGCUAAGAAGAUGAAGAAGACAUUUUUAAAGGAUUUUCACAAGAUUACUAUUCUUGGGAAUAUGAAAUCUAUACCAUCAAAUUUAUUAGUUCGACUAUUUUUUGGCUAAGAAAAUGAAAAAUAUUUAGUUUCUCUGUUGUCUUGCUCUAAC